UAACAGGAACAAAUGGGACCACACAUUCCUCAAGAAUUUCUGUCACAUUGAUUUCUGCAUUAAGUGACGGUCUAUUAAAAAAGUGUCCAUGUGAAUCUCCUCCGAAUGACCCUCUUCUUUGUCCCGGCAUUGUUGUAUUGGCUGUAGAGCUGAAGUGCUGCUCGAUCGAAGGAGUCUGUCUGUUGCUGUCCAACUUCGGUGUCCCUUGUAAACUCUAAGCGGUCCCGACGAUGGUAUCUUGUAACCGCUGGAUCCGUUGCUGAGCUUCUGAGUUCCAAGUUUUUGAGACGUUUCAGAAGCAGUGGAAAAAUGCAAUGUCUCAGAGUGACAUCUGAUAAAUCGGUCUUCAGCUGAUUCUUGGGUGCCCGAUCCGAGUACACCUUGCAAUCUCCUGGUUCCACUGAAUUCCCGACAACCGUCGUUUUAGGCAAACUACAACUUCAGCGCUGAUUUCCUCCAUUCUCAAUGAGUGCAAUGGCACGGGCUAAUUGCUCGCUGAUUAUGAACAUUUUCGUAAUCGUUUUGUUUUGUGCCACCGGCUCACUAGUGAAUAAAGGAGAAAAAUGCUGAUCGUUCAUCGUUCAUCGUUCAUCGUUCAGCAGGGCUCAGUCGAGAUAGCCAGCCAAGAGGUAAAAGUACACCAAAGGAACGUUCUACGGACAGAGAAGAGAUUAGAAAACAUGGAAAGACUAAUCCUAAAAAGAAGGGAUUUUAGUCUAUUUUAAUGCCACUUCUUUUGCCUAAGUAAUUAUUUUGUUUCUGACUGAGAACAAACUGACAGAUUUUUUUCCAGAUAAAAGACAAAUUGGAAGCUGAUGGCUUAUACAUUCCCAACUCCAAACACCUAUUAAACAAACAAGAAAU